AUUGAACGCUGGCGGCAGGCCUAACACAUGCAAGUCGAGCGAGCGGCGGCCGGGUUAGUACUGUCUGGGAAACUGCCCGAUAGAGGGGGAUAACUACUGGAAACGGUAGCUACUACCGCAUACUAUCAGAUGACCCCAGAUGGGAUUAGCUAGUAGGUGGGGUAAUGGCUCACCUAGGCGACGAUCCCUAGCUGGUCUGUGAGGAUGACCAGCCACACUGGAACGGCGAAACGGGCCAGACGCCUACGGGAGGAAGCAGUGGGGAAUAUUGCACAAUGGGCGCAAGCCUGAUGCAGCCAUGCCGCGUGUAUGAAGAAGGCCUUCGGGUUUUAAAGUACUUUCAGCGGGGAGGCGUUACCCGCAGAAGAAGCAGCGGCUAACUCCGUGCCAGCAGCCGCGGUAAUAC
rnacentral:rRNA from 1 species